CAGAAGAGGAGGACAUCAACUCUCCACAGAUGCUGACAUGUAAUGUGUGCAAAAAAGAAACACUGAGUGUUGUAAACCGCUGAGAUUUUGACCUACUGUUACGGUGCGAAGCAGACAACACAAAAUCAAGACACUGAUUGGAGAAAAAGACGUGAAUGGAACAGUCCUAAGGACAUUUUCCUCCUCCACAUCUGAUUGUUUCCUCAAACCCAAUGUGGAAAGUUGGAAGUUAAUGCAACUGAAUGUGAUAAUCACCAAUCAAUAAUUGAUUUCGGGAACCCAUUUUCCAGGAUAGACUGGACAGCUAAGUCACAUUUCGUACAGACUGCUAAAGGUACCAGGCACAUUUCUGUUGGUUAUGUCACAUGUUGCCUAUAUGGACAUUAGUGGAACUGUUUUAUGAUUUGUAAUACCUCUGAUAAACUUCAGAACCACUAAUUAUGUUAAGAGGUUAAGAGCACCAAAGCAUAUACAUUUACACUCUAAUGGAUUCUUAUAUUAGGUAAUUGAGAAUAAUACUCUUAUUAUCACUAAUAUGCAUUAGAGACAAAGAAGCUUCCAGAUAUGCCAACAAUUUUCAGUCCCAUUUACCAUUUUAAAGACAGAAGCACUGCUAUAUAGAAUUCAUUAAUAAAGCUUCUGGAAGAUACUUGUUCCUGAAAACAACACUGCACUCUAAAGGUAAGUGGCAUUAAUGUUACUCAGAAAACCUGAAGCUUCAAUAUACUCUUGAGAACAAUUAGGAUUCUGUCACAUAAAUGCUAGACUGUAUUUACUUAAACUGAUUUUCUAUAUCACGGAAAGUGAAAAGGUAAUUAUCAAAAUGGAUGUAAAUGAAACAUGCAUUUUAGAAAAUAGUUGAACCAAUUACUCUCAAAAGAUAUAUAAGGGCUGGAAAGUCUUUCACCCAAUUUACUCAUCCACUCAAACCUUAUUUCCAAAAGUAAGCAGAGAUUAUCCCAUAAAUAUUUAUUUAUUAGAUUUAUAAAGUGUGGCCUGCUCAAGCUGCAGAAAACUGUUUGAGACAGAAGUUAUUUAACAACUAAUGGAAGACCAUUCUUAAAAGAUAUUUCUGCUACAGAAGUAGGCUUUUAACAAAAUCUGUCAUGCUAUCUAAUGAAAUACUAUUAUAACAGCAGAGAUAAUUUUUUCAUAGCAUACUCCUUCUAUCUGUCACAGUUCAGGACUGGGAACAAUUAACAGGAUCACCAGACUCUGGAGAAAGGCAACAAUAUGCACACCCCUAUUCCUAUUAAAAUAAGUAAAUUGCAAACCUAAUUAUCUUGGGGCCACAGGAGUAUGGUUACUUUAUGUAACCAUUUGGAUUCCUCGCUUAUAGCCCGUAUUUGAUGCCUUAUAAUAAAACACUUUGCUUCUUGUAGAAAUAAGAGAAAACAAGGGAAGGUAUUAUCUUUUCUUUUCCUCUGCUUUCUCUUCCUUCUCUUUUCCCUUUUUUUGAUUUUAUUACCCUUACCAUGAUCAUUAUUAUCACUGUGAGGUAUAAAGCAAAAUGUUAAUAAACAGAUGGUUGAAUAUUAACAAGAUGAUAAAAGGAAACGUGAAAAUGAUAAAUUAAUGCCACUGUGCAUUCUGUUUUCAAUAAUUUGAGUCUCUUCAAGGUAGGAGUUAUAUCCAUUUCUGUUUAUGACAUCCUUUGGGAAGUAAGAAAACUGAAGGUAAGAGAGAUUAUAUAAUUGGCCUACAGUUAGCGAUUGGUCAAUGUAGCAUUUAUGUGUGGAUCUCUGCUAUCUAAGAGACAUGGAUUCAAAUCUCAGCUGCACUAAUUUCUUUCUUGGUGAUAAUUAGUGGGUUGAUUCAUCUCUGCUGUCUAGAAAGUUUUGCAAACCAUUGUUCAUGUGAUAUAGAGUCAAAUUCUAAACUUUCCACUGACCCAGAGGUUUCCCCUUGAUAAAAUGAUAUGUAUUGGAAACUCUUAGAAAGGAAAAGAGGCGUGUGUGUGUUUGUAUGUGUGUGGGGGG